UAAGUAGAGCAAAUGAUCGCGGCCCGGCAGCGAAACCGUGGGAAUCCAUGAGUUUUUCACGGUUUUGCUGCCGGGGUGAGGAAAGUCCGGGCUUCACAGGGCAGGAUGCCGGAUAACGUCCGGUGGAGGCGACUCCAAGGAUAGUGCAACAGAAAUAUACCGCCCGUUGCAGCUUCGGUUGCAAUGGAAGAAUCUGUAAAGAUUCUUCGGAUUCCGGCGAGCCGGAAUCUGGUAAGGGUGGAAGGGCAGUGUAAGAGACUACCGCCUCUCUGGUAACAGCGAGGGCAUAUGUAAACCCCAUCCGAAGCAAGACCGAAUCAAAGCGUUGACGCGGCCCGCCAGCUUUAGGUAGGUUGCUUGAGGUGGCUGGCAACAGUCAUCCUAGAUAGAUGAUCAUUCCGACUGCGGCUUGCCGCAGUUUAGACAUAACCCGGCUUAUCGCUCUGCUUAUCAU
rnacentral:RNase_P_RNA from 1 species